AACGAACGCUGGCGGCAUGCCUAACACAUGCAAGUCGAACGAGACCUUCGGGUCUAGUGGCGCACGGGUGCGUAACGCGUGGGAACCUGCCCUUAGGUUCGGAAUAACUCUCCGAAAGGGGUGCUAAUACCGGAUAAUGUCUUCGGCCCAAAGAUUUAUCGCCUUUGGAUGGGCCCGCGUUGGAUUAGCUUGUUGGUAGGGUAAAAGCCUACCAAGGCGACGAUCCAUAGCUGGUCUGAGAGGAUGAUCAGCCACACUGGGACUGAGACACGGCCCAGACUCCUACGGGAGGCAGCAGUGGGGAAUAUUGGACAAUGGGCGGAAGCCUGAUCCAGCAAUGCCGCGUGAGUGAUGAAGGCCUUAGGGUUGUAAAGCUCUUUUACCCGGGAUGAUAAUGACAGUACCGGGAGAAUAAGCUCCGGCUAACUCCGUG
rnacentral:rRNA from 1 species